rnacentral:rRNA from 1 species
GUCUUGUUGAAUGUAAAUAACAAGUCUGACCUGCCCAAUGAAUAGUGAAUGGCCGCGGUAUUUUGACCGUGCGAAGGUAGCGUAAUCAAUAGUCUAUUAAAUGUGGUCUUGUAUGAAUGGUUUAACGNAGGNUAACUUUCUUAAGUUUANUUAUGAAUUUUAAUUGUCNGUAAAAAUGCUGAUAUGAGUUAGGGGGACGAGAAGACCCUAUAGAGUUUUAUAUAUAAUNUGNAUAUGGUGGUAUUUUGUUCGUUCUAUAUAUUUUGUUGGGGCAACAGUAAAUUUAAACAUUUAUUAUUUAUGGCUAAGUANNAGGUUNNNUGAUCCCUUAUUAUGGAUUAUUAGACUAAAUUACCUUAGGGAUAACAGCGUAAUUUUAUUUUAGAGUUCUUAUCGAUAAUAAAGUUUGCGACCUCGAUGUUGGAUUAGGAUUUCUAUAAGGCGCAGGAGUCUUAGUAGAUAGU